GACGGGCGGAUCACGAGAGAAUGUCUUCAGGAAGAAGAAAACAGGCAUAUGUUAUCAGUGUGCUGGGAAUCAGCUGCAGGAAAACUGAGGCGAGCCUAAGGGAGAAUAGGGUGUGUUUUGAUGGACGUAUGUGUGUAGCACCAUCUUCAGAAAAUGAGGUAAUGGGAGAGUUUUCAUCUCUGCAAUCAAAAUACUUUGAAGUUUAGUGUGACACAUUCUUGGUCUUUAAAAGUCCUAGGUUGCUCCAGGAAUUGGACUCAUCUCUGCAGCAAGCAGACCUAAUAGACAUCUAUAGAACUCUCCACCCCAAAUCAACAGAAUAUACAUUCUUCU